AUGUUGGUCACUCAAUAUUUCGUACCCCUAGACGUAAACUACACCUUAGAAAUUUUUUGCAUGUCCCUAGCACAUAAAAAUCUUCUUUCUGUUCAUCGCAUUGCCAUCGAUAAUCAUGUUUUUCUCGAGUUUCACCCUUUUUUCUUUUUGAUCAAGAAUCAGGCAACGAGGGAAAUACUCUAUCGCAGUAGAUGUGUUCGAGGGCUCUAUCCGUUGAUUCCAGAGUUUAGAAGAUUCAAUAAACAAGCUUGUGGUGCUAUCAAGCUUACGUCCACACGAUGGCACGAUCGUUUAGGACAUGCCUUUUUUUCUUUAGUUGAAAAGUUGCUUAGGAAAAAUAAGCUCCCGUUUGUUGGUGAGCGUCAUGUUGAAACAAUUUGUGAUUCAUGUCAACGAGCAAAAAGUCAUCAAUUACCAUAC
rnacentral:rRNA from 1 species